AUACGUAUGUCGCAAGCGUUAUCCGGAAUUAUUGGGCGUAAAGCGAGUCUAGGCGGCUUGUUAAGUCAGAUGUGAAAAUGCGGGGCUCAACUCCGUAUUGCGUUUGAAACUGGCAGGCUAGAGUUCUGGAGAGGUGGGCGGAACUACAAGUGUAGAGGUGAAAUUCGUAGAUAUUUGUAGGAAUGCCGAUAGUGAAGACAGCUCACUGGACAGAUACUGACGCUAAAGCUCGAAAGCGUGGGGAGCGAACAGGAUUAGAUACCCUAGUAGUCC
rnacentral:rRNA from 1 species